rnacentral:rRNA from 1 species
CCUACGGGAGGCAGCAGUGAGGAAUAUUGGUCAAUGGACGAGAGUCUGAACCAGCCAAGUAGCGUGAAGGAUGACUGCCCUAUGGGUUGUAAACUUCUUUUAUAUGGGAAUAAAAUGUUCCACGUGUGGGAUUUUGUAUGUACCAUAUGAAUAAGGAUCGGCUAACUCCGUGCCAGCAGCCGCGGUAAUACGGAGGAUCCGAGCGUUAUCCGGAUUUAUUGGGUUUAAAGGGAGCGUAGGUGGAUUGUUAAGUCAGUUGUGAAAGUUUGCGGCUCAACCGUAAAAUGGCAGUUGAAACUGGCAGUCUUGAGUACAGUAGAGGUGGGCGGAAUUCGUGGUGUAGCGGUGAAAUGCUUAGAUAUCACGAAGAACUCCGAUUGCGAAGGCAGUUCACUGGACUGCAACUGACACUGAGGCUCGAAAGUGUGGGUAUCAAACAGGAUGAGAUACCCUGGUAGUG